AGAACUCAUUUGAAGGUUUGCUAUCCCUCUAAUAUUUAGAUUUAUCCUGCAAUAAAAUACCGUCUAUCGAAAGGCGUACAUUUGAACCACUACCUUUUUUGCAGUUUAUAAUUCUCAAUCGUAAUCCUUUGACAACAGUUGAAGAUUCUUAUCUUUUUAAAUUGCCAGCAUUAAAAUAUUUAGACAUGGGAACAACACAAGUGUCACUUACAACAAUUGAAAGCAUCCUCAUGAUGACCCUUGAAUUGGAAAAAGUGUAAGUUGAUUUUUCUGACAUGUAUUUUCACUCAG